GCCGAGAUGGCGGAACUGGCAGACGCGCUAGGUUCAGGUCCUAGUGGGGUACCCACUCCCCGUACAGGUUCGAUCCCUGCUCUCGGCA
rnacentral:tRNA from 1 species